GAUGAAGAACGUAGCGAAAUGCGAUACGUUAUGUGAAUUGCAGAAUUCAGUGAAUCAUCGAGUCUUUGAACGCACAUUGCGCCCCCUGGUAUUCCGGGGGGCAUGCCUGUCCGAGCGUCAUUGCUGCCCUCAAGCACGGCUUGUGUGUUGGGCCUCCGUCCUCCUCCCGGGGGACGGGCCCGAAAGGCAGCGGCGGCACCGCGUCCGGUCCUCGAGCGUAUGGGGCUUCGUCACCCGCUCUUGUAGGCCCGGCCGGCGCUUGCCGACACAUCAAUCUUUUUUCCAGGUUGACCUCGGAACAGGUAGGGAUACCCGCUGAACUUAAGCAUAUCAAUAAGCGGAGGA
rnacentral:misc_RNA from 1 species